AUUCCAGCUCCAAUAGCGUAUAUUAAAGUUGUUGCAGUUAAAAAGCUCGUAGUUGAACUUCAGACCUGGCCGGGCGGUCUGCCUCGCGGUAUGUACUGUCUGGCUGGGUCUUACCUCUUGGUGAGCCGGCAUGCCCUUUACUGGGUGUGUCGGGGAACCAGGACUUUUACCUUGAGAAAAUUAGAGUGUUCAAAGCAGGCCUAUGCCCGAAUACAUUAGCAUGGAAUAAUAAAAUAGGACGUGCGGUUCUAUUUUGUUGGUUUCUAGAGUCGCCGUAAUGAUUAAUAGGGAUAGUUGGGGGCAUUAGUAUUCAGUUGCUAGAGGUGAAAUUCUUGGAUUUACUGAAGACUAACUACUGCGAAAGCAUUUGCCAAGGAUGUUUCAUCA
rnacentral:rRNA from 1 species